AUAUCCGGGCACUAAGAGGACUAGAUCGAAGUCCUUCGGCUCCGAUUGCUGGCAUUCCAGCAUCCCAGGCGGAAAUCCUCCCUUCUCUUCCGUCUGUGUCUGGUGCGAAGAAGUUCAGGCGAUUUCUCCCCCAUCCUCUUUCUCUUGGUUCAAGUCUAGAGGCCGGAAGCCCUUGCCCCUCUUCUUCCUUUAGUCCGCGAGCUCCAGAACCGAACCUGACGAUCCCUCACUCCUCGUAGCCUCACUCACGCGAACUGUAGCUGAGAUCUCCUCAUCUACAGCAGGCGCAGAAGAAGACAAAGAGGAUAGAGAGACAGAGAAGCUAAAAUGAAUUCUUUCUUUCUUUCUCACCUAUUACAGAAUGUAUGAAACAUUUAUAGAUAAAUCCUACUGGCUGAGGCACGCGUCAGCCUCCUAUAGGUAGAACAAAUAUUGUAUAUUUAUAUGUAAUUAUUUAUGUUCUAAUAGUCCCCCUCAAACUGACGAUUCUUGAGCAAUUGUCAGUUUGGAUCUGAGAUAUCUGAAUCGGGAUGUGGAGAGAGGUUUGGUAAA